GAAGGACGGGACUAACACCGAUAUGCUUUGGGGAGCUGUACGUAAGCGUUGAUCCAGAGAUUUCCGAAUGGGGGAACCCACUAUCUUUAGUCGGAUAGUAUCCUUACGUGAAUACAUAGCGUGAGGAAGGCAGACCCAGGGAACUGAAACAUCUAAGUACCUGGAGGAAGAGAAAGAAAAAUCGAUUUCCUGAGUAGCGGCGAGCGAAACGGAAAGAGCCCAAACCAAGAAGCUUGCUUCUUGGGGUUGUAGGACACUCUAUACGGAGUUACAAAAGAAAGUUAUAAAUGAAGCGGUCUGGAAAGGCCCGCCAAAGACGGUAACAGCCCGGUAGUUGAAAUGGCUUUCCCUCCAGAGUGGAUCCUGAGUACGGCGGAACACGUGAAAUUCCGUCGGAAUCCGGGAGGACCAUCUCCCAAGGCUAAAUACUCCCUAGUGACCGAUAGUGAACCAGUACCGUGAGGGAAAGGUGAAAAGCACCCCGGAAGGGGAGUGAAACAGUUCCUGAAACCGUGUGCCUACAAGUAGUUAGAGCCCGUUAAUGGGUGAUAGCGUGCCUUUUGUAGAAUGAACCGGCGAGUUACGAUUUGUUGCAAGGUUAAGCGGAAAAAGCGGAGCCGUAGCGAAAGCGAGUCUGAAUAGGGCGCAUAAGUAACAGGUCGUAGACCCGAAACCAGGUGAUCUACCCAUGUCCAGGAUGAAGGUAAGGUAAUACUUACUGGAGGUCCGAACCCACGCACGUUGAAAAGUGCGGGGAUGAGGUGUGGGUAGCGGAGAAAUUCCAAUCGAACUUGGAGAUAGCUGGUUCUCUCCGAAAUAGCUUUAGGGCUAGCCUCGAGGUAAAGAGUCAUGGAGGUAGAGCACUGUUUGGACUAGGGGCCCUUCUCGGGUUACCGAAUUCAGAUAAACUCCGAAUGCCAUGUACUUAUACUCGGGAGUCAGACUGCGAGUGAUAAGAUCCGUAGUCGAAAGGGAAACAGCCCAGACCACCAGUUAAGGUCCCCAAAUAUAUGUUAAGUGGAAAAGGAUGUGGGGUUGCUUAGACAACCAGGAUGUUGGCUUAGAAGCAGCCACCAUUGAAAGAGUGCGUAAUAGCUCACUGGUCGAGUGACCCCGCGCCGAAAAUGUACCGGGGCUAAACAUAUUACCGAAACUGUGGAUGAACCUCUUUAGAGGUUCGUGGUAGGAGAGCGUUCUAAGGGCGGUGAAGUCAGACCGGAAGGACUGGUGGAGCGCUUAGAAGUGAGAAUGCCGGUAUGAGUAGCGAAAGAAGGGUGAGAAUCCCUUCCACCGAAUAUCUAAGGUUUCCUGAGGAAGGCUCGUCCGCUCAGGGUUAGUCGGGACCUAAGCCGAGGCCGAUAGGCGUAGGCGAUGGACAACAGGUAGAGAUUCCUGUACCAGUGCUAAUUGUUUAACCGAUGGGGUGACACAGAAGGAUAGGGAAUCGCACGAAUGGAAAUGUGCGUCCAAGCAGUGAGUGUGAGAAGUAGGCAAAUCCGCUUCUCGCGAAGCAUGAGCUGUGAUGGGGAAGGAAAUUAAGUACGGAAGUUCCUGAUUUCACGCUGUCAAGAAAAGCCUCUAGGAAGAGUAGUACUGCCCGUACCGCAAACCGACACAGGUAGAUGAGGAGAGAAUCCUAAGGUGAGCGAGAGAACUCUCGUUAAGGAACUCGGCAAAAUGACCCCGUAACUUCGGGAGAAGGGGUGCUCUAUUAGGGUGCAAGCCCGAGAGAGCCGCAGUGAAUAGGCCCAGGCGACUGUUUAGCAAAAACACAGGUCUCUGCAAAACCGUAAGGUGACGUAUAGGGGCUGACGCCUGCCCGGUGCUGGAAGGUUAAGAGGAGUGCUUAGCUUCGGCGAAGGUACGAAUUGAAGCCCCAGUAAACGGCGGCCGUAACUAUAACGGUCCUAAGGUAGCGAAAUUCCUUGUCGGGUAAGUUCCGACCCGCACGAAAGGCGCAACGAUCUGGGCACUGUCUCAACGAGAGACUCGGUGAAAUUAUAGUACCUGUGAAGAUGCAGGUUACCCGCGACAGGACGGAAAGACCCCGUGGAGCUUUACUGCAACCUGAUAUGGAAUGUUUGUACCGCUUGUACAGGAUAGGUAGGAGCCGAAGAGACGUGUGCGCUAGCAUACGAGGAGGCAAUGGUGGGAUACUACCCUGGCUGUAUGACCAUUCUAACCCGCCACGCUUAGCGCGUGGGGAGACAGUGUCAGGUGGGCAGUUUGACUGGGGCGGUCGCCUCCUAAAGAGUAACGGAGGCGCCCAAAGGUUCCCUCAGAAUGGAUGGAAAUCAUUCGCAGAGUGUAAAGGCACAAGGGAGCUUGACUGCGAGACUGACAAGUCGAGCAGGGACGAAAGUCGGGCUUAGUGAUCCGGUGGUUCCGCAUGGAAGGGCCAUCGCUCAACGGAUAAAAGCUACCCCGGGGAUAACAGGCUUAUCUCCCCCAAGAGUCCACAUCGACGGGGAGGUUUGGCACCUCGAUGUCGGCUCGUCGCAUCCUGGGGCUGUAGUCGGUCCCAAGGGUUGGGCUGUUCGCCCAUUAAAGCGGCACGCGAGCUGGGUUCAGAACGUCGUGAGACAGUUCGGUCCCUAUCCGUCGCG
rnacentral:rRNA from 1 species